rnacentral:rRNA from 1 species
GUAGUCAUAUGCUUGUCUCAAAGAUUAAGCCAUGCAUGUCUAAGUAUAAGCAAUUAUACCGCGAAACUGCGAAUGGCUCAUUAUAUAAGUUAUCGUUUAUUUGAUAGUACCUUACUACUUGGAUAACCGUGGUAAUUCUAGAGCUAAUACAUGCUAAAAAUCCCGACUUCGGAAGGGAUGUAUUUAUUAGAUUAAAAGCCAAUGCCCCUCGGGGCUCACUGGUGAUUCAUAAUAACUUGUCGAAUCGCAUGGCCUUGCGCCGGCGAUGGUUCAUUCAAAUUUCUGCCCUAUCAACUUUCGACGGCUGGGUCUUGGCCAGCCAUGGUGACAACGGGUAACGGAGGGUUAGGGCUCGACCCCGGAGAACGAGCCUGAGAAACGGCUAUUACAUCCAAGGAAGGCAGCAGGCGCGCAAAUUACCCAAUACCGACUCGGUGAGGUAGUGACGAUAAAUACUGAUACAGGGCUCUUUUGGGUCUUGUAAUUGGAAUGAGUACAAUUUAAAUCCCUUAACGAGGAACAAUUGGGGGGCAAGUCUGGUGCCAGCAGCC